GCUAUUUAUUGUGAACGAAGGGAUGCAUGCUAAUGGUGUUGUAUCGAUCGGUCAUGCUCCUCAAUGCAAUUUAUUCUUUUGAUGAAAAUUCGAUCGGUGUAGGCAUUAAGCAUCAUACGUAAGUGUGCUCGAGGAACCACCACUUGGGGCAUCGAGUCUUCUUCCCGAGAGUGCCGAGGCCUUUUCCCUGUUCGUCCUCGAGAGAUGGCAAUGGUUCUGGAUACUUUCGUUUCGAGAUACGUCAACGAUGUGGCAGCUUUCGUGGAGGGAGAGAUAUGCAAAGUGCUGGGCGUGAAGAAGGAGAUCAAGGCGCUGCAGGAGACGCUGGAGACGAUCAGAUGUUUCCUCCAGGAUGCCGAGCAGAAGAGCCGCAGCGGGGAUCCCGUCAUGGAGCUCUGGGUGAGGAAGCUGAAGGAAGUCAUGUACGACGCCGACGACGUCAUCGAUCUGUGCGUGAUGGAAGGGGGAAAGCCCUUGGAGGUUCGGGCGUCGGCAUCAGCCUCAGGGGUGGUAAGCCUUCCUUUCAGCUUCGUCUCUUCCUGCUUUCGGUGUACCAAAUACCGCCAUGAGAUCGCAGGCCAAAUCGAAGCAAUCAAUGAUAGGCUGAAACGAAUAGCGGCAGAUAACUCCAUCCUUGGAAAUCUACAGCCCGCAAGCCAACAACUCCACCCUAAAAAACCACCUCCACCACGUGAGACGUCUCCCUUGGAAGUUGAGGAGGACAUUGUGGGGGAACAAAUCGAAGAAGCUGCCGACGAUCUAAUCAAUCGCAUGUUGGAGAACACCGAACAAAAGUGUCGUGUUUUUGGGAUUGUUGGAAUGGGUGGAAUCGGGAAAACUACUCUGGCAAGUAAAAUAUAUAAUGAUGGAAGGAUCAAAGCAAACUUUCCUAUCCAAAAGUGGUUGUAUAUCUCAAAGGAUUAUACGGAGAUCAAGUUACUCAGAGAGUUAAUUCGGUGUGCAGGAGAUGAAACCAAAGCAGAAUCUUUUGAGGGAGAAAGCAGAGCAGAAUUGGAACCCAAACUUGCCUCGCUCCUUACUAAAAAAUUAUUUCUCGUGUUGGACGACGUGUGGAGUCCAAAUGUAUGGACUGAUUUCCUGAGGAAACCACUAAGUAAGGGAGCAGGUAGCAGCACGAUCUUAGUUACCACUCGAAUCGAAACAGUGUUAAGUGGUAUGAAAGGCAGCUAUAUGCACCAAGCUGAGAAAAUGGAUGAUAACAGCGGGUGGCUGUUGCUUGGGAAGACGGUAUUCGAAGCUGGGGAGGAGGAUGACAUGCGUAGGUUGGAGGAAGUAGGUAGGAAAAUUGUUAGAAAAUGUGAUGGACUUCCUCUUGCUAUCAAAGCUAUUGCAGGGGUUCUAAUUUCCAAGGACAGAAGCACAGCGGAGUGGGAACAAGUCCUCGAGAAUGACGCAUGGAGUACGAACCGUCAGAUCGACGAAGAAGUUCCAAGGGCUUUGCACUUGAGCUAUGAGGAUCUACCAUCUCAUCUGAAACAAUGCUUUCUUUAUUGCUCGUUCUUCACCUGGAAGGUUUUUCAUUACAAUGAUAUUAUUCGGUUUUGGGUAGCAGAAGGCCUUAUCGUAGAAGCAGAAGGUAGGUUGAUGGAAGAUGUAGCCGAGGAGUACUAUUGGGAACUAGUUUCGAGGAAUCUUCUACAACUGGAUCCAUCGUUUAUAAACAGGAGCAUGUUUUGUAUCCAUGACCAUUUACGAGCGCUCGCUACAUACUUGAUGAAAGACGAAGGAUUUUCGAUUACAGUUGGUCAAAGAUUAGAUAUAAAAGCCAACGCGAAGAUUCGUCGGUUGUUGAUAUUUAACAUGGGAAUAAAAUUAGUACUGUCGGAUCACAUCAUAGAAAAGAAAUGUUUGAGAACUUUAGUGAUCAGAGACUCCCACUCAACCAUCACAAUUGAGGAUAAUGUACUCGAAGGGUUACCAAAUUUACGAGUAUUGGAUCUUUGUAACACAUCAGUCGAGAGAAUUCCAAAUUGCAUCGGAGAUCUAUUGCACCUAAGAUACUUAGAUCUUGAUAUAACAAAUAUUCAUGAGAUACCGGAAUCAAUAGGGUGUCUUGUAAACCUUCAAACUUUGAAUAUCUCAGGAUGUAAACACUUGUACAAACUUCCCAUGACCAUCACUAGACUAUAUAAUCUAAGGAGUCUCGUUGUUGAAGAGACUCCUCUGACUCAUGUACCGAAGGGAAUCGGGAAAUUGAUAAAUAUUAACAUACUCCAAGGAUUUGUGAUCGGUCAUGACAAUCCGACGAACGAGGUGGACGAGACCGGGUGUGGAUUAGAGGAGCUGCAACCUCUUUCCAAGCUAAGAUAUCUGAGUAUAUACAGGCUAGAGAGGGCAGUGACGGCAGCGUCGGCACUAGCGGAGAAACGUUCUCUUAGGGAACUAAUUUUAAGUUGGAUGCCACCAGAAGAUGGGGAAGAUGGAGAUGCCACCGAUAGUGGUGAGGAUAGAAGAGCAACAACAUGGAGAAAAGAGGAGCAAAUCCAGAUGGGAGCCGAGAAGAUAUGUAAUGAACUCUCUCCUCCUUCAAGCUUACGAACUCUUGUCAUCGUACGAUUCCCGGGUCGACAAUUCCCAAACUGGAUGAUGUCGUCCUCCCUGGGCGAAUCACUCCCUAACCUGCAAUACUUGUAUCUUUCGGUGUUCCCAUCAUGCGCAGAGCUCCCUCCUCUGGGCAUGCUGCCCCUGCUGAAAUAUCUUAAGAUCAUAGGAGCCAAAGCGGUCAUGACCAUUGGGCCUGAGUUUCUCGGCCACAGUUUCCCGGGAACUUGUGCAUUUCCCAAACUUGAGUAUUUGGAGAUCAACGACAUGCCCAACUGGGAAGAAUGGUCACUAUGCGGUGUGGAGGAAGGUGGUCACAGAACACACCUGAAGCUGUUUCCCAAUCUAAAGGAAUGUUGUCUCGUAGACUGUCCCAAACUGAGAGCUCUUCCAGAAGGCCUAUCCCACGCUACCAACUUGAAGGAAUUGCACAUCUGGGGAGCUCACAACUUGAGAGAAGUAACAAAGCUCCGCUUGAGUUACAACCUGUCUGUCACAGAUAACAAGAUGCUGAACAGAAUAUCCGACGUUGCCAUGAAGUAUCUGGAGGUGGAGGAUUGCCCCAAUCUAGAGUGCGUGGAUAAUCUCGACAAGCUGCAGCACCUGGUCCUGACAUGUCCGGAACAUAUGGAUCAGCUUCCCCCGUGGUUAUCCCGCUUAAUUGAUCAACAGCGCCCUAAUUCUGCACAAUGGAGCUUCCGCAAACUUGAAGUGCACUGCAACAUAGUGCUGCUAAGGAGCUGUCUCGAGGGCAACGAGCAUUGGAACAUCAUCCAACGGAUUCCAGAUGUCAAAUUUCAAACUUUUUCCGAAGAAUAUAUGCGAUACAUCAAGGAUCCAUAUAAGUAUGACACAAAUGUACCUCCAGAAUAAGGGCAUUGGUCUUCCUUGUUCAAUGAAAGGUCUCUGCGCCAGUUUAUGCUUCCUUUAUAUAAUAUUUUGCGAAUAAAGAAUUAUAACUUUGUACUAUCCGCUUCAGCGUUACACACCACCUCAUUCAUAGUCUACCAGGCCAAUAAUGAAUUCAGAAGCCACUCUCUUUGGUCAUUGUGGUGUUGGGUUGCACUUCUUUCUUAGUACAUGGCAUGGAAUGCAUUCCAUGACCUCGUUUGAUGCAUUCAUAUUUUUCCUUCUCAUGUAAAUGUAUUCAGGAUCAAUAUAUAUAUUCGUUCGUUGGAAACCUGAAAUUAAUAUGAUUUAGCUGGUCUUAGUUAUUCUUUGGAACGCUUGUAAGCCUUAACUCCGGUCCAUUGGAAGUAUGAAAUUAAUAUGAAUCUGCAGCGAAGGUUGGAGGCUAUCAGAUGUUACGUUCAAGAUGUGGAGCGGUAGGAGCACCGUCACCGAGCUACGAGGAUUUACCAUCUCGUCUGAAACAAUUUUUUCUUUAUUGUUCUUUCUCUACGAAGGUCUUUCUGUAUUACAAGGAUAUUGCUCCGUUUUGGGUGGCCGAAGGCUUUAUUGUAGAACGAGGAGGUAGGUAGGUUGAUGGAAGAUGUAGCCGAUG